UUGAAGGAGCUCCAUAUGGUCCAUCCAAAAAGAUCUGAAUAAUAAUUAAUUAUUAAUUAAAUUUUCAACUUUCCUGAAUUCAUCGGUUUGAAAGGAUGCCAUUCAUAACGAGCUAUAACCGGAAUAUUGAC